rnacentral:rRNA from 1 species
CAGUAGCCGCGGUAAUACGAAGGGGGCUAGCGUUGUUCGGAUUUACUGGGCGUAAAGCGCACGUAGGCGGAUCGUUAAGUCGGGGGUGAAAUCCUGGAGCUCAACUCCAGAACUGCCUUCGAUACUGGCGAUCUUGAGUCCGGAAGAGGUGAGUGGAACUCCUAGUGUAGAGGUGGAAUUCGUAGAUAUUAGGAAGAACACCAGUGGCGAAGGCGGCUCACUGGUCCGGUACUGACGCUGAGGUGCGAAAGCGUGGGGAGCAAACAGGAUUAGAUACCCCCGUAGUCCCUGUCUCUUAUAC